AGAGGCCGUCGUGCGCCGCGCCACCGCGCAGGAGAGCGAUGCGUAGGAAACGUAAGGCGGUGGAAUCCGAAUCGGAGGCCGAGCUCGGCACAGGGCGCGUUCUAUGCCUACAGCGCCGACAACACGCCACUCGAUGAUCUUUGGAGGCGGCGGCUCCACGCGCUUCCGCAAGAUCAUCGCCCAUGAAAUCCUCGUCGCCGUCAAUCUGUGCUCCGGGAUUGCAGCAGAAGAGCCCUAACGAUCUGCUAGGCUUGGAGCCGGAGAAGAACGACUAUGACUGCUGCUAAUCGAGCUUCUCUGCCAGAAGAUCGAUCACGUCGAGUCCUUGGAAGGGGUGCCGGAGGCUUUAAAGCCGUGCAUUACGUCCAAGCUAUACGAGCUUGUCCCAAGGCAGUGCAGAUAAUCCUGGCAGGACCUCUCACGCGGAUCUUCAUCCCAGGAGUUGAUGGAAAACUCUCCCCUCGAUGGAGUCCAGGCUUUGGAGCUCGGGUUCUGUGGCCGAGCACUCUCCGACCAAAUGCUGCAGAGAUUUGCGUUUCCACAGCUGAGAAAGCUCCGGCUGCAUGGGAACUAUCGGCUGUUAGACUCGGAAGUGCGGGCACUGAUACGAUCUGCCACCAGAGGUUUGAGGGACGUAUCUCACCGAGGCGUCCGUCCAGGAGCUAGCAACCUUUCACGGGCGAUAUGCGAUGCGAUUCUUGGCAUUUUGAAGCUUCUCGAGCUGACGUUCCUUUCUCUCGCGAGCGUGAACCGACAAAUUGCUAAGUGAGCUCAUGGUGGCUAGGGGGCCGACACUGGAAGAGCUCAAUAAGGACACCAUCGUUUGACUUCAGUGACGAGGUACUGGCGGACUUCGUCAUGGCCGCUGGAAGCUCGCUGCGCAACCUGUCCACCACAAGCGUGAAAAAGGCACGUCGAUCAAAGCGAUCCAAGCUAGUGCGUUCUUUUGCCGCAGAGCGACCGAGGGCGGGUUUGGAUUCCUUGUCCCAAUCUCGUGGAGCUCAGACUCUUUGGUUGCGUUGCACCCAGGUACCUGCUGCUCGUCUACCUGCAAAUAAAAAAAUCGCGUUUCUUUGAGUGGGCUUGAUAGGAUUUUUCAGGGAGAAUGCUGCUAAUAGUCGGCGUUGCCCUAAAAGGGUUUCAAGCAGAGAUAGCAGAGCGCCAGGCAAGGUCUCAUUUUCAGCUCCAGCAACCCUAGCGCUCCAGCUCCGCUCAGGUGAGUAGGUGGUUUUGAUUAUUCUGGUUUUGUGCCCAUCAGAAUGGAUGUGAACGUGAGUGUGAUUGUGGCAAUCACCAUGGGUGUUUGUACUUUCACUACGGUAGUUUGCAUUGCCGCUCAUUACCGACCUAACCUCAUCACCAAGAGCGUCAUCACCAUGGCUUCUUCAAUCAGGGGAGUAGUGAAGGAGGAUCUGCAAGCUUUCCAUAGAGCUCUCAAGGAGGACCUUUUCAGGCUUAACUAGAACUUUGGAGUAGCUACCUCCAUCCUCAAACAGGACUUCCUCAAACAGGACUUCAUAGCAGCUACUACCAACCUGAAGCAGGAUUUUUCCAGCCUCAAGCAUGAUUUGGGAGUAGCUAUUGCCAGCGUCAAGCAUGAUGUGCGAGUAGUGUGCAUGAUGUGCAAUCCUGCUUGAUGCUAGUAAUAGCUACUGCACAGUCUUGCUUCUGCAAGUGCAACUGGUGCAAUUCAUACUGCAGUGAUACAGGAUUUUGGUGCCUUGCAUGGAGUGGUGAGGGCUGAUGGGACGAUGAUGCGAGAUGCCCUGCAAGCUGAGGCAGCUGCAGCCCACAGUCAAGCAAUGAACGACUGUUCUACAAGGCUCUAUCUGAGUUUGAAUGGCUUGAUCCAGUCGUGUGCAAACCGCACAGUGGUUGGAAAAUUUUUUCUGAUUCGGGUCUUCGUCUCCUCGAAAUAAAAAGGCUCAUGUCUUGAGCUUCUGAUAGUGGAUCAGUGUAACUAUUUAUUCAGCAGACCGGGAUUUCUGGGUACACUUCAAUUGCUUUGUAUGAUAACGGAACACAUUCAAUCGAACCUUUCAAGUUUUCUGUCUUCAA